rnacentral:rRNA from 1 species
CCAAGCUUGGUACCGAGCUCGGAUCCACUAGUAACGGCCGCCAGUGUGCUGGAAUUCGGCUUCCUACGGGAGGCAGCAGUGGGGAAUUUUGCGCAAUGGGCGAAAGCCUGACGCAGCAAUACCGCGUGAGUGAAGAAGGCCUUUGGGUCGUAAAGCUCUUUUCUAAAGGAAGAUAAUGACGGUACUUUAGGAGUAAGCACCGGCUAACUCCGUGCCAGCAGCCGCGGUAAUAAGCCGAAUUCUGCAGAUAUCCAUCACACUGGCGGCCGCUCGAGCAUGCAUCUAGAGGGCCCAAUUCGCCCUAUAGUGAGUCGUAUUACAAUUCACUGGCCGUCGUUUUACAACGUCA